rnacentral:rRNA from 1 species
GACGAACGCUGGCGGCGUGCUUAACACAUGCGAGUCGAACGGUGAGGCCCUUCGGUGGGGCUGUGCGGGGGAGGGGUGAGGAAGAGGUGGGCGACCGGCACCCGGCCUUGGGAUAAGGACAAGAAAUUGGGGCUAAUACCGGAUGCUGACAGCUGCCCCCAUGGGAGGGGGUGAAAAGGGUUUCCGGCUGGGGAUGGGCUCGCGGCUUAUCAGCUUGUUGGUGGGGUAGUGGCGUACCAAGCCGAGGACGGGUAGCCGGCCUGAGAGGGUGACCGGCCACACUGGGACUGAGACACGGCCCAGACUCCUACGGGAGGCAGCAGUGGGGAAUAUUGCGCAAUGGGCGGAAGCCUGACGCAGCGACGCCGCGUGCGGGAUGACGGCCUUCGGGUUGUAAACCGCUUUCAGCUGUGACGAAGCGUAAGUGACGGUACCUGCAGAAGAAGCACCGGCUAACUACGUG